UCCUUCUGAUGUUCGGAUGUGUUCGGAGUCUUCCUUCUGGUGGGUUCGCGGUCCGGCUGGCUCAGGAGCGAAGCUGCAGACCUUCACGAGAAAUCUAAAUACGUGACCACAGUUUGAGCUCCUUUCUGAAGAGAUUUUUUAAAGGCUGUUUUCUCAUUAAAGCUGGGAUUUUCAUCAUGCUGAGUUCAGAGGAACUUGUGAGUUAUGGCAAAAGAUAUUAUGACUCCCAUGCUGCGGAUGAAGAAGUUGAUGCCCGUGACAGGUAAUCCCCUUCAGUGACAGCAGAGUGACCCAGGCCACCUUCUUUGAGGAUUUCGGAGCUGCAGCCCACAGCCAGGGCCAUGGUGGACUCAGCUCUACACCCCGUGCCCAUGAGUCUCUGCGACUAACGAUUUCCCCAGACGCUCCCAGGUUCCUCCUGAUCUGCAGCAUUGCCGUCCCUGCCGCUGACCAGGAAGCCCUCUGUGCUCCCAUAGCCCCUUCAGAAACAUGUGACCUCCUGAGUCCUAAGUCUUCAGCAGAAACAGCAGCUGCCCCAUAGCUCGAGUG
rnacentral:lncRNA from 1 species